UGCAGCUCCAUAUAGUGUGUGCCACCUU
rnacentral:piRNA from 1 species